AUGCCACUUUUCAUGCCCAUGACCAGCAUGAAGCCUCUCUCCUUUUUGCUACUCAUCAAACUACUCUUUCUUGGCCUUAGUGUGGCACCCUUCAUUGCCGGUGAUGAGCACCAGUUCAGCUUCUCCGGCUUUUCCAACACCAACCUCACCCUUGACGGUGCGGCCUCGGUCACGCCCAAUGGAUUACUUAUGCUCACCAAUGGCUCGGCCCUGAGCAUGGGCCAUGCCUUCUAUCCGAGUCCGCUGCACUUCCACAAUUUGUCCGAUGGGACUGUACAGACCUUCUGCAUCUCGUUUGUCUUCGCCAUCGUCCCCACCUACAAGGACUUGAGCAGCAAUGGCCUCACCAUGUUCAUUGCACCGAGCAAGAAUUUGCCAGCAGCGAUGCCAAUACAGUUCUUGGGUCUUCUCAACGACCAGAAUAAUGGCAAUGAAACAAACCACAUCUUCGCAAUCGAGCUAGACACCUUUCAGAACUUGGAGUUCGAGGACAUCAACGACAACCAUAUCGGUAUUGACAUCAACAGUCUCUAUUCCAUAAAAUCCCACAAUGCUGGCUUCUACCACGACGAGAGUGGCACCUUCCAGAGCUUGGGUCUCGAUAGCCAAGAGGCCAUGCAAGUGUGGGUGGACUACCACAGAGAGAAGACACAGAUCGAUGCCACCAUGGCUCCUCUCGGCAUGGUCAAACCUACAAGACCAACGGUUUCGGCCAACUACAACCUCUCAAGUGUGCUCACAGAUGUGGCAUACAUUGGCUUCUCAUCUGCACAAGGCAAGAUAAACACGAAGCACUAUGUGCUGGGUUGGAGUUUUGGCAUGAACAGUCCUGCUCCAGCUAUCAAUCUCACCAUCCUGCCAACACUACCUUCUGAUCCUCAUACCAAGUAUCGACACCGUCUCUGGCUAUUGGAGAUCAUUCUACCACUAGCAACGGCAGCACUCAUCCUGUCUGUGGCUGCCGUUGUUUCCCUACUUGUGCGGAGGCAUUUCAGGUAUGCAGAGUUACGUGAUGACUGGGAGGUCGAAUUCGGUCCACACCGCUUCUCGUACAAGGAUUUGUUCCAUGCAACAGAGGGAUUUGACGACAAAAACCUCCUAGGGGCCGGAGGAUUUGGAAGAGUAUACAGAGGGGAGCUGCCAAGGUCCAAACUAAGGAUGGCUGUGAAGAGGGUGUCGCAUGACUCGAAGCAAGGCAUGAAGGAAUUCAUCGCCGAAAUUGUUAGCACUGGCCGCCUUCAAAAUCCAAAUCUCGUACACUUACUUGGCUAUUGCAGGCGUCAAGGUGAGCUCCUGUUAGUGUAUGAGUACAUGCCCAAAGGAAGCCUCGAUAAGUACUUGUAUGGUGAAGUGAACAACUCCACAUUAAGUUGGGAUCAGAGGUUUUGGAUCAUCAGGGGCAUCGCGUCUGCACUGAUUUAUCUCCACGAGGAGUGGGAGAAAGUAGUUGUCCACCGAGACAUCAAGGCAAGCAAUGUGCUCCUUGAUGAUGAGUUGAACGCACGGUUGGGUGAUUUCGGUCUAGCAAGGCAGUAUGAUCAUGGUGUUGAGCAAGAAACUACUCGUGUUGUCGGCACCAUCGGAUACCUUGCUCCAGAGCUAGCACGGACGGCCAAGGGUACUCCUCUUACCGAUGUAUUUGCCUUUGGUGUAUUUAUUCUAGAGGUCACUUGUGGACAAAGACCUAUCAUGCAAAGCACACAAGAUGAGCUGGUCAUGUUGGUUGAUUGGGUGCUUGAGCAUGUGCAACAAGGAUCACUCGAAGAUGCAAUAGAUGUGAGGCUUAAAGGGCACUACAAUGUCGGUGAGGCAUAUUUGGCGCUGAAGCUAGGACUACUGUGCUCACAUCCAUUUGUGUGUGCAAGGCCUAGCAUGCGGCAAGUGAUCCAAUACCUAGAUGGGCAUAUUGAACCACCAGAGCUACCAGCACACCAGAGCUUCCAAGCGCUGGCCUUGAUGCAAAAUGAAGGGUUUGAUCCAUACAUCAUGUCGUAUCCUUCAUCAACGAAUGUUGGCACAAUAUCAAGCAUUUCAGGAGGAAGAUGA
rnacentral:rRNA from 1 species